AGUAGUAAGAGGAAUAGUAGUAGUAGUAGAAGUAGUAGAAGAAGUGAAAUCAGCAACGACACCAGGUGUUCACUGGAGAAUUCAUGAAGUGGCCACUGAAACCAGUACUGACACCAGGUGUUCUAUGGGAAUACAUGAAAUGACCAUUGAAACCAGUGAUGGCAACAGGUAUUCUCUAGAGAAUACAUGAAGUGGCCACUGAAACCAGUGAUGACACCAGGUGUUCUCUAGAGAAUAUAUGAAGUGGUCACUGAAACCAGUGAUGACUCCAGGUGCUCUCUAGAGAAUACAUGAAGUGGCCACUGAAACUAGUGAUGACUCCAGGUGCUGACACCAGGUACUCUCUAGAGAAUACAUGGUCAAUGAAACCAGUGAUGACACCAGGUGCUCUCUAGAGAGAAUACAUGAAGUGGCCACUGAAACCAAUGAUGACACCAGGUGUUCUCUAGAAAAUACACGAAGUGAUCACUGAAACCAAUGACGACACUAGGUGUAAGUGUUUUAUCUGAUACAAGCAUGUAUUUAUAAGCGUAGUCAUAGGCACUAUUUUCAAUAUCGCUUUGGAAUCCAUAGCGAAAUAUUUCUAAUGUAUUGAAUAAAGUGUCAAAAUUGAA